rnacentral:rRNA from 1 species
AAAUUGAAGAGUUUGAUCAUGGCUCAGAUUGAACGCUGGCGGCAGGCCUAACACAUGCAAGUCGAACGGUAACAGGAAGCAGCUUGCUGCUUUGCUGACGAGUGGCGGACGGGUGAGUAAUGUCUGGGAAACUGCCUGGUGGAGGGGGAUAACUACUGGAAACGGUAGCUAAUACCGCAUAACGUCGCAAGACCAAAGAGGGGGACCUUCGGGCCUCUUGCCAUCGGAUGUGCCCAGAUGGGAUUAGCUAGUAGGUGGGGUAACGGCUCACCUAGGCGACGAUCCCUAGCUGGUCUGAGAGGAUGACCAGCCACACUGGAACUGAGACACGGUCCAGACUCCUACGGGAGGCAGCAGUGGGGAAUAUUGCACAAUGGGCGCAAGCCUGAUGCAGCCAUGCCGCGUGUAUGAAGAAGGCCUU